rnacentral:rRNA from 1 species
GGAUUGCCCUAGUAACGGCGAGUGAAGCGGCAACAGCUCAAAUUUGAAAUCUGGCCUCGCGGCCCGAGUUGUAAUUUGCAGAGGAUGCUUCUGGCGCGGUGCCUUCCGAGUUCCCUGGAACGGGACGCCACAGAGGGUGAGAGCCCCGUAUGGUAGGACACCAAGCCUGUGUGAAGCUCCUUCGACGAGUCGAGUAGUUUGGGAAUGCUGCUCAAAAUGGGAGGUAAAUCUCUUCUAAAGCUAAAUACCGGCCAGAGACCGAUAGCGCACAAGUAGAGUGAUCGAAAGAUGAAAAGCACCUUGAAAAGGGGGUUAAACAGUACGUGAAAUUGUUGAAAGGGAAGCGCUUGUGACCAGACUUGCGCCGGGCGGCUCAUCCGGGGUUCUCCCCGGUGCACUCCGCCCGGCUCAGGCCAGCAUCGGUUCUCGUUGGGGGAUAAGAACGGCAGGAACGUGGCCCUCCCUCGGGGGGGUGUUAUAGCCUGCCGUACGAUACCCUGACGGGGACCGAGGUUCUCGCUCCGCGCAAGGAUGCUGGCGUAAUGGUCAUCAGCGACCCGUCUUGAAACACGGACCAAGGAGUCGUCCAUUAGAGCGAGCGUUUGGGUGUAAAACCCGCACGCGUAAUGAAAGUGAAAUUAGGUGAGAGCUUCGGCGCAUCAUCGACCGAUCCUGAUGUUCUCGGAUGGAUUUGAGUAAGAGUUUUAACGGACGGACCCGAAAGACAGUGAACUAUGCUUGUAUAGGGUGAAGCCAGAGGAAACUCUGGUGGAGGCUCGCAGCGGUUCUGACGUGCAAAUCGAUCGUCAAAUAUGAGCAUGGGGGCGAAAGACUAAUCGAAC